CCUACGGGAGGCAGCAGUGAGGAAUAUUGGUCAAUGGAGGCAACUCUGAACCAGCCAUGCCGCGUGAAGGAUGACGGCCCUAUGGGUUGUAAACUUCUUUUAUAGAGGAAGAAACUUGUCUACGUGUAGACAACUGACGGUACUCUACGAAUAAGGAUCGGCUAACUCCGUGCCAGCAGCCGCGGUAAUA
rnacentral:rRNA from 1 species